GACGAACGCUGGCGGCGUGCUUAACACAUGCAAGUCGAACGGAAAGGCCCUGCUUUUGUGGGGUGCUCGAGUGGGGAACGGGUGAGUAACACGUGAGUAACCUGCCCUUGACUUUGGGAUAACUUCAGGAAACUGGGGCUAAUACCGGAUAGGAGCUCCUGCUGCAUGGUGGGGGUUGGAAAGUUUCGGCGGUUGGGGAUGGACUCGCGGCUUAGCAGUUCGUUGGUGGGGUAGUGGGUUACCAAGACUUUGACGUGGAGCUGACUUGAAGUGGUGACCGGCCCAAUCGGGUACGGGAUGCAGCCGAGACGCCUCCGGCAGGAAGGAGGGGGGAAUAUCGCACAAAGGCCGGAAGCGUGAUGAAGCAACUCCGCGUGCGGAAUGACGGCCUUCGGGAUGAAAACCUCUUUCACUUGCUACGAAGCUUGAGUGAGUGAAAAGUGUAAAAAACCCCCGUCUAACUACG
rnacentral:rRNA from 1 species